UACGUAGGGUGCGAGCGUUGUCCGGAAUUAUUGGGCGUAAAGAGCUUGUAGGCGGUUUGUCGCGUCUGCUGUGAAAAUCCGGGGCUCAACCCCGGACUUGCAGUGGGUACGGGCAGACUAGAGUGUGGUAGGGGAGACUGGAAUUCCUGGUGUAGCGGUGAAAUGCGCAGAUAUCAGGAGGAACACCGAUGGCGAAGGCAGGUCUCUGGACCACUACUGACGCUGAGAAGCGAAAGCAUGGGGAGCGAACAGGAUUAGAUA
rnacentral:rRNA from 1 species